AGUGAACGCUGGCGGUAGGCCUAACACAUGCAAGUCGAACGGCAGCACAGUAAGAGCUUGCUCUUACGGGUGGCGAGUGGCGGACGGGUGAGGAAUACAUCGGAAUCUACUUUUUCGCGGGGGAUAACGUAGGGAAACUUACGCUAAUACCGCAUACGACCUACGGGUGAAAGCAGGGGAUCUUCGGACCUUGCGCGAUUGAAUGAGCCGAUGUCGGAUUAGCUAGUUGGCGGGGUAAAGGCCCACCAAGGCGACGAUCCGUAGCUGGUCUGAGAGGAUGAUCAGCCACACUGGAACUGAGACACGGUCCAGACUCCUACGGGAGGCAGCAGUGGGGAAUAUUGGACAAUGGGCGCAAGCCUGAUCCAGCCAUACCGCGUGGGUGAAGAAGGCCUUCGGGUUGUAAAGCCCUUUUGUUGGGAAAGAAAAGCAGCAGGUUAAUACCCCGCUGUUCUGACGGUACCCAAAGAAUAAACACCGGCUAACUUCGU
rnacentral:rRNA from 1 species